rnacentral:rRNA from 1 species
UAUUGGACAAUGGGCGAAAGCCUGAUCCAGCAACGCCGCGUGAGGGAUGACGGCCUUCGGGUUGUAAACCUCUUUCAGUACCGACGAAGCGAAAGUGACGGUAGGUACAGAAGAAGCACCGGCCAACUACGUGCCAGCAGCCGCGGUAAUACGUAGGGUGCGAGCGUUGUCCGGAAUUAUUGGGCGUAAAGGGCUCGUAGGCGGUUUGUCACGUCGGGAGUGAAAACUCGGGGCUUAACUCCGAGCCUGCUUCCGAUACGGGCUGACUAGAGGUAUGCAGGGGAGAACGGAAUUCCUGGUGUAGCGGUGAAAUGCGCAGAUAUCAGGAGGAACACCGGUGGCGAAGGCGGUUCUCUGGGCAUUACCUGACGCUGAGGAGCGAAAGUGUGGGGAGCGAACAGGAUUAGAUACCCUGGUAGUCCACGCCGUAAACGAUGGGCACUAGGUGCUUGGGGGAGCGACCCCCUGAGUGCCGGCGCUAACGCAUUAAGUGCCCCGCC